CAAUAGCGUAUAUUAAAGUUGUUGCAGUUAAAAAGCUCGUAGUUGGAUUUCUGGUGGGAGCGAUCGGUCUGGCGCUUAGCGCGAGUACUUGCAUCGUCUCCGGCCAUCCUUGGGGAAAGUCUGUCUGGCAUUAAGUUGUCGGGCAGAGGAUCCUCAUCGUUUACUGUGAAAAAAUUAGAGUGUUCAAAGCAGGCUUAUGCCGUUGAAUAUAUUAGCAUGGAAUAAUAAGAUAGGACUUUGGUACUAUUUUGUUGGUUUGCGCACCAAAGUAAUGAUUAAUAGGGACAGUUGGGGGUGUUCGUAUUCCGUUGUCAGAGGUGAAAUUCUUGGAUUUACGGAAGACGAACUACUGCGAAAGCAUUUACCAAGGAUGUUUUCAUUAA
rnacentral:rRNA from 1 species